rnacentral:rRNA from 1 species
AGUGAACGCUGGCGGUAGGCCUAACACAUGCAAGUCGAACGGCAGCACAGUAAGAGCUUGCUCUUACGGGUGGCGAGUGGCGGACGGGUGAGGAAUACAUCGGAAUCUACUUUUUCGUGGGGGAUAACGUAGGGAAACUUACGCUAAUACCGCAUACGACCUACGGGUGAAAGCAUGGGAUCUUCGGACCUUGCGCGAUUGAAUUAGCCGAUGUCGGAUUAGCUAGUUGGCGGGGUAAAGGCCCACCAAGGCGACGAUCCGUAGCUGGUCUGAGAGGAUGAUAAGCCACACUGGAACUGAGACACGGUCCAGACUCCUACGGGAGGCAGCAGUGGGGAAUAUUGGACAAUGGGCGCAAGCCUGAUCCAGCCAUACCGCGUGGGUGAAGAAGGCCUUCGGGUUGUAAAGCCCUUUUGUUGGGAAAGAAAAGCAGCAGGUUAAUACCCCGCUGUUCUGACGGUACCCAAAGAAUAAGCACCGGCUAACUUCGUG